GAUGAACGCUGGCGGCGUGCCUAAUACAUGCAAGUCGAGCGAACAGACGAGGAGCUUGCUCCUCUGACGUUAGCGGCGGACGGGUGAGUAACACGUGGAUAACCUACCUAUAAGACUGGGAUAACUUCGGGAAACCGGAGCUAAUACCGGAUAAUAUAUUGAACCGCAUGGUUCAAUAGUGAAAGACGGUUUUGCUGUCACUUAUAGAUGGAUCCGCGCUGCAUUAGCUAGUUGGUAAGGUAACGGCUUACCAAGGCAACGAUGCGUAGCCGACCUGAGAGGGGGAUCGGCCACACUGGAACUGAGACACGGUCCAGACUCCUACGGGAGGCAGCAGUAGGGAAUCUUCCGCAAUGGGCGAAAGCCUGACGGAGCAACGCCGCGUGAGUGAUGAAGGUCUUCGGAUCGUAAAACUCUGUUAUUAGGGAAGAACAAAUGUGUAAGUAACUAUGCACGUCUGGACGGUACCUAAUCAGAAAGCCACGGCUAACUACGU
rnacentral:rRNA from 1 species